rnacentral:rRNA from 1 species
CCCUUAGAUGUUCUGGGCAGCACGCGCGCUACAAUGGUCUUCGCAAACGGAUGCAUUCUCGAAGGAGAAUGCCAAUCUUGGAAUCUAUGCCUUGGUCGGGACAGUUGCUUGCAAUUUUUCGGCUCGAACCAGGAAUUCCUUGUAAUCGUGAUUCAUCACAUCACGAUGAAUACGUCCCUGCCCUUUGUACACACCGCCCGUCGCUCCUACCGAUCGAAGAGUUAGGUGAAUUGUUUUGAUCGAUGAGAUUUGACUAUGGUCAACUCUCGUUGUGAAAUUCUGUGAAUCUGACUGUUUAGAGGAAGGAAAAGUCGUAACA